UGCAGCAGGCGCGAAAACUCCGCAAUGCGCGCAAGCGUGACGGGGCUACCCCGAGUGCUGUCCGCUGAGGAUAGCUUUUCUCCGGUCUAAGGAGCCGGAGGAAUAAGGGGAGGGCAAGCCUGGUGUCAGCCGCCGCGGUAAA
rnacentral:rRNA from 1 species